rnacentral:rRNA from 1 species
AAAUUGAAGAGUUUGAUCAUGGCUCAGAUUGAACGCUGGCGGCAGGCCUAACACAUGCAAGUCGAACGGUAACAGGAAGCAGCUUGCUGCUUCGCUGACGAGUGGCGGACGGGUGAGUAAUGUCUGGGAAACUGCCUGAUGGAGGGGGAUAACUACUGGAAACGGUGGCUAAUACCGCAUAACGUCGCAAGACCAAAGAGGGGGACCUUCGGGCCUCUUGCCAUCAGAUGUGCCCAGAUGGGAUUAGCUAGUUGGUGAGGUAACGGCUCACCAAGGCGACGAUCCCUAGCUGGUCUGAGAGGAUGACCAGCCACACUGGAACUGAGACACGGUCCAGACUCCUACGGGAGGCAGCAGUGGGGAAUAUUGC